AAACAAGGCCCCAAACAAGCGCACAUCUGUGCAGCUUGAGCGUUGAAAACAACCAUCCAUAUCCUAGAGGGAGUUACAUACUUUCAGCUCCUUGCUUUACAGUUAAUUUCAAGUAGAAUCUCUCUUCAUUUAUUGUACAAAUGAUUAGUGCUUUCUGCUUGGCACUCUGCUAAUGGGAAAAGGAAGAUAAAUUAGACAGGAUUCCGCUUUCAAGGAGUUCAAAGAUAGAAAGCAGUGUGUGCGUGCUCAGUCUCUUCACUCAGGUCUGAGUGUUUGCGACCCUCUGGACUGCAACCCACCAGGCUCCUCUGUCGAUGGGAUUCUCCAGGCAAGAAUACUGGAGUGGGGUUGUCAUGCCCUCUUCCAGGGGAAUCUUCCCAACCCAGAGAUCGAACCAGAGUCUCCCACGUCUCCUGCAUUGCAGGCGGAUUCUUAAUCCACUGAGCCACCUAGAAAGCAGUAUUGUAAGCAGCUGCCUGUUUGAUAUCCAUGGAAGGGAUUUUGCUCACCAUGGUGACAGGAGUGAUUGCAUUUCAUCCUCACUCAGUCAGUCUUCCCUUUGGCUUCUGAGCUAUGCAGGGGGCUGAGAGAGAUGGGUCCUUUGGCAAAAAGACAUCUGUGCUUUCUUCUUUCCCUUCAAGACUGAAUGUCAUGAUUUAGAACACACAAAUGUAAUUUCAGCUUUGACUGCCUGCUGGUUUAUUUCAUACACCUGCUUUUGGAAGAAGGAGAGCAGGAUUUUAAGAGGACAUUUUGAGGCCAGAACUGACAUUUGACCUGAUACAUCCCACAGGAACAUGAAAAACAAAAGCACUUAUUCAUAUAGGGUGAUUUAAACAAUGAAGGAACACAUUUGCAAUUAUAUUUACAUAUCAACACUUAGACUUGUUUCUUUCCUUGCUCUUUUUUCUUUUUCUUGUCAUGAAUCAAAAGUUAAAGAUUUCCUUUUUUUGUAUGUAUAGCCCUAUAUCAAAUCCUGUAUUGAUUUAUAAGUUAAACUUUGGUUUUUACUUCAAAUGUUUUAAUGUCUCUACACAAUAUUUUAAGUUUUGGGGCUUAUGUAUAAACUAUCUAUGAAAAUCUGCAUAUAAAGUUUCUAGUAUGUGUGAACUCAGUUGUUUCUAACUAAAAUAUCUCCUAUUGAAAAUGUAUUCUUUUAUUUCUGAGUGUUAAGCAAUUCCAAAGACAAAACUUAUAAAGAACCAUCCUGAAUGGUUUUGCUAAAAGUGUGACAGCUAAUAAAUUCAAGAUUGAUUUAACA
ensembl:lncRNA